ensembl:lncRNA
CAGGAGCUGAACUGCUGAGCCUUGAUUUAACAGCUGCCUAGCCAUCUCUGCUGUAAGUGCCACCAGCUUGAAACAGGUGGAUCUUAUCUGGCACCAGAUCAUAGAUGUCUCUUCUUGCCUUGAAGAGUUUUCCAUGACUAUAAAACCCAGAAUACUGGUGGAGACAACAGCCCUGGAGCUAGGUAUUGAGUCACCUAUGACUACUUCCUGCUGCUUCUUCACGGCACCAGUCUUAAUUUUGCUGCUAAGAUGUUACCUGGCCCUGGUGGGAAAACCUGUAGACGCCUCUUCUUUCAUCUUUUCAAAUCCCUUGUCUGCCACACCCAGAGCAGAAUCAGAGAGAAACAUUUCAAAUGUGACUUCAGGAAUCCUGUGUAGCUUAGUUUAGACUUCCGGUGAACAAUUUCUUGUGGCUCUAUUUACAGCUACAGCUUCAGCUGAGCUGCUUUUUAUAAAAUGGUUUGCAGCCUCUUGGCACUUGUACUGAACUAAAAAACAGCACUUGCACAGUGGCAUACAUAUCUCUGUGUAGGAAGCUGAUGUCAGACAACUAUUGUUUAAAACUCCACUGCUCACAUAUUCUGUGGUAAUUUGACUAAUUUUACAAAGAGAACCCUAAUUGGUAGAGGGAUAUUAUUAGAUAAGCAGAUGGAAAUUGUCAUGAAUGAUUAAAAGUCUAUAGAGUAUGAAUUUCUCUCCAUUGCACUUGAAAAUCAGCAAGAUGCUAGCUACAUUAUUCAGUUUAUUAGUGAAUGGAGAAUGGAAGCUAUACAGUAGAAAUGGGAGGUUUACAUCAUACGUGGGCUCAACAUGCCUACGGGAAUUGCUUAUAAAGAUUUAGGUAUCCUGAAUGCUUUGUUUUUAAAUUGAUGUUCAGUAAAAAUCAAGAUGUCCAAAAGACUCCUGUUGUGAAAGAGCUUGCAAAAAAAAUAAAAACAAUUAUAAUAAUGUCAGUGUUGCAUUGAUGGCACUGAUACUGCAGUUGCCAAAAAGAGCAGCAACACAGAUAGAAUCACAGAAUAUCCCAAGUUGGAAGGGACCCAUAAGGCUCACUGGGUCCAACUUCUGCCUCCACACAGG